GGGACAUGAUGAGCGGUAUGAUCUCGCAACUGCUAUGCGAGAGGGGUGUCUGCCCCAACUACGCCUGUUACGACAACAGGCACCCCAAUGAUUUACCGUCUGAUCCC
rfam:Zea mays cultivar B73 chromosome 6, whole genome shotgun sequence.